ACAGCAACUUGAGGGUUGACGCCAGCCAUUUUGGCUGUGUUAGAGAGAAGAACUGCACAGAGGCAACUAGGGUUCUGCCCAAUUUUCUUCACCUGAGCACAGCAACUCUGAGAAACACUAGCAUUCUCAUCUUGUGCUGCUGAGGCACAUGGUGCAAGCUUAUAAGCCUCAUUAUCAGGGGUUGUAGAUUUCCCACAUUCACCAGCACUCUCCACCCCACCAAUAGUACUCACAAGCACCACAAACCCAACAAGGCAUAGCAACUUCUUCACACAACCCUCCAUUCUCAAUAUAUGUUUAUUUUUUAUGUCUCUCUAUU
rnacentral:lncRNA from 1 species